CAAUAUCUUAAUUAAUACCUUCUCGUGGUGAUAUUGUAAGUACCAUUAAAUGGGAAACUAAAUUAAU
rnacentral:ribozyme from 1 species